UAGAAAAUAUAAUUAUAUGUAUAAGCCCAUAAUAUGGUUGGGCGUAUCUACCAGCUACCGAUAAUAGUUGACUACGACAAGGAAUG
rnacentral:ncRNA from 1 species